ACAAACCACGGACUAAAAAUAAUUAAUUGACAUUUAUUAUAGUGUAUUAAUUAUGAUUCCCAAUGAGGUUAUUGAAUACUGGAUUAUUUUAUAAACCUGAAGAUUUCGUAGCGUUUUGUUCGAGAAACUUUGUUCGGAAAUUGUGCUAAAAUUUGCUUUAUCCGCCAUUUUGGAUUUUUGAAGCAUACUUCGUGUAAGCUUGCGUUUGAACGAAACGCAUGCGCACUCAAUCAAUUAUGACAUCACAAACGCAACAAGUCAUUUUUCUGAUCAUCCUCAAGAUGUCUGUAAUUGCAAGACAUUGUGAUCAAAGUUUUAAGCAGUUUAAACAUGGCUGGAAAUUGUCAAACGAUAAAUGUGAGGUUGACAAAACUCUAGGCCAAAAUAUUUGGAGGAAAAAAAAUGGAAAUCAUAUCACAAAAAAAGUAGGAUGCCCUGUAGUGUGCCUCAUUUGACGCCUGUAGUAUACAUGGUCAGCGAUGUCCGCUUUAAUAAAUUUAUUUUUGUUCUUUUGACGUUUCCAGAUUUUGACUCCUGUUUCUUGCGAUUCUUUGCAUUUUUGGCAACAAAAUCGUUGUUCCAAUGCAAAAGAAAAAGUUUUUAAGUUUCCGAUAUCUGUAAGUGUAACUAAAGGUAAUGUACGUAGAGAGUUAUGUGACCGUGAUGAGAAAUCGAUCGACAAAAUACCUUUGAAGAAAUUUCCUGUUACAGAACAGAUCAAAUCUUCAUCGACA